CGUGUCACCUUACAGAGAGGAGGGAAGUGGUCACCAAGGGGCAGAGCUGGGCUUCAAUCCCAGGUCUUUCAGCGUCAGGUCAGGGCAUGUCCAUGCUGGCGCUGGGGCCCUGUAAGUGAGGCUCUGAGUGGACUCCACGUGGUCACCCCUGGCCUCUGUCUUGCUGGGGUGUCCCCCGUGCGUCCUCACAUCAUCUUCUCUUGCUGUCUCUUUCUCCAAAUUUUCCCUUGAAGGUGUCCCCUCUGCCAGGCCAGCUCAGGGACGUGGCCGGUGCUCAGCAGUGUUUCUCCACGUGACGUCCUGGGCGGGAAGUCAACACACAGCCCCAAAGUCCCAAGGUCCUUUGGGAAGCUGCCACCAGUGGACACACAGAGGUUUGGGGAUGGGGAAGAGGGAAAUGGAGGACAUGUGAGCCAUCGUUGAGAGGAAGACGUGGCGAAUGGAUCAAGUGGACCAGGAGGGAUUCUGAGCUGGCGUAAGCCCUGUGAGCGCUAGAACUGCCCAUCCGCACGUAGGCAAAGGGCGCGGGGCUCCCAGCUCCCUCCCCACCCCAGGAAUUGCCUGGGGGUGGACUUUAGCCUCUAAGCCUCCUGGAGGGAAUAAUGAUGUGGUGGGGUCCAUGUGAGGACCUGGCCCGAUGCCCCCUGAGGAGUGCCCACCAAGACCACGGGGCCUGGCCCCAGUCAGGGUCAAAACGUGGGACGCAUGUCCCUUCAUCCCUGCUUGUUGGGACGUCUCUCUUCUCUCAACUUCUGUGGCCUGGGGACAGCAGCAGACAAUGCAGGUGUGGUCAGGAUGUGGCGAUGGCCCAAGGUCCCGUGGAGGGACAGGGGAAGUCAGGUGAGAAGGGAGCCCCAGGAAGCACUGGAUGGCAGUGACUGAAUGUGACCAGGAGGGACAGGAAGAGGGCAGCGCGGGGCGCACUCCUCACUCCUCCAACUUCGCUAGUGACCUGGGGGAGCUUCCGGUCCCCAUGCAGACGCCCCGAUGCGCACGUCCAGAGGAGAUGCUGCACUCGGCCACGCUCCCGGCUGUUGGUCCUCAGCCCAUCGUGGGAGCAGCUAGGAACUGAGGAAUCCACCUCUCCCUCUGGCUUUCCUGGUUCCAUAGCAACUGCUCUCCAAAGCACCGGGUGACUCAGCCUCCCCACCUGGGCUGGGGAGAGCCAUCUCAGACGGGGGACUACGGCUCGAACGUCAGGACUGCGGCUCGAACGUCCCCCCCCCUCCCCAGGGACAUUAUUCGGCUGCCGUUUCGGACUCAGUGGGUCUGCAAGUCUGCGUUUCUAACAACCUCCCAGGUGAUGCGAAAGCGGAUGAUCAGAAAGUUCGCUUUGAAGAGCCAGGGUCCUGAGAGGGAAAAGCCAGAGAAAUCGGUGCAUCAUCUAACAUUCCAAACCGUCCCGGGGCUGCACACCACUUGGUCCUAGGAACAAGAAUGGCAGUCAGGAAGUCCUGCAGCCAGCUGGCCGGCUUCUCCGCUGCCGCUUCAGACCGAGGCCACGGAACAGAUGGUGUGCAGGUGGGGUCAGCGCCCAUUCGCACAACUCCUCUGGAAGGGCGGGAGCCGGUGCCGUGGUGGCAAGGCCUCUCCUCGGGCCUGGCCCCGCGGCCAGUAUCCUUCAGGGGCAGGACGGCUCUUCCAGGUCCUUCCGCCCAUGGCUGCAGAGCACGUGGCCUCCCCGGCUCAGGCUGUGGCUCGAACGUCCCCCCCCUCCCCGAUGCGCCCUGAUGACUAUGCCGGGAGGCGGUGGCGGUGGUGGUGGCCCGGGGCCUGGAGUGCGCGCUACUCCUCCUUGGCAGGGAUCCAGGGCCCGGGAUCAUUUAGGACAGCGGAGGAGGGCCCUUGAGCCGCCAGCUCUGCAAUUCAUGUCUAGUGGGCUGGCUCCUCGGGGCCACUGGCUGGACGGAUGGCAUCUUGCAGAGAUGUCGCCUUGUCCUUUAUCUUAUGAAUCAGGGAGGAAAUGGCAGCCCCGAGGGCUCAGAGGCUCAAGAGCCCUUCGGGGCCACUUCUCCUUCCUCCCCCGGGAUCUUCAGUUCAAAGGCCCACGAGAGUCUGCACAUUUCCUUUCAAGCCAUGUGCCAAGUGCUGGCCAGACCUCUAAAGCCUUCCAGAGAAAAAUCGAGCAGGGCUCAGGGGACGAGGCCCCGCUCUGCUCAUGAUGGCCACCCGCCUCUCCCCGUAGGUGUGCUCUGGCCCCAGGGCCAGGGGCAGCAGCCCAGACCCCUGCAGGGUGGCCUGGGCACACAGAAGACAGGGAGUGGGACGGGACUUCCACUGAUGAGUGCCACGGGGGUCUGACACCAGCUUCCCCAGAUCCCAGGGUUUGGAGGAGGUUCUAAGAAUACAUUGCUUUUAUUGUUUUGGGGUCCUAGAGAUUGAACCUGGUCACCUAACCACUGAGCCACAUCCCAGUAAUAAUCCUAUUAUUAUCAUUUUAUUACUGUGUUUUUAAUUUUGAGACAGGGUCUCACUACAUUGCCGAGGCUGGCUUUGAACUUGUGAUCCUCCUGCCUCAGCCUCCUGAGUCCCUAGGAUUACAGGCCUGUGCCGCCAGGCUAAGAGUGCAUUGUUUUAAACAAUAAUAAAAGUGGGAUUUAUAUGACAUGUCCUGUGUAGCAGGCACUGCUCUAA